AUUGAACGCUGGCGGAAUGCUUUACACAUGCAAGUCGAACGGCAGCACGGGGGCAACCCUGGUGGCGAGUGGCGAACGGGUGAGUAAUACAUCGGAACGUGCCCAGUCGUGGGGGAUAACGCAGCGAAAGCUGUGCUAAUACCGCAUACGAUCUACGGAUGAAAGCGGGGGAUCGCAAGACCUCGCGCGAUUGGAGCGGCCGAUGGCAGAUUAGGUAGUUGGUGGGGUAAAGGCUCACCAAGCCUGCGAUCUGUAGCUGGUCUGAGAGGACGAACAGCCACACUGGGACUGAGACACGGCCCAGACGCCUACGGGAGGCAGCAGUGGGGAAUUUUGGACAAUGGGCGCAAGCCUGAUCCAGCCAUUCCGCGUGCAGGAUGAAGGCCCUCGGGUUGUAAACUGCUUUUGUACGGAACGAAAAGGCUCUCUCUAAUACAGGGGGCUCAUGACGGUACCGUAAGAAUAAGCACCGGCUAACUACGUGCCAGCAGCCGCAGUAA
rnacentral:rRNA from 1 species